GCCUCCUGUACGAACCAAGCCAGCACCACAUGAUCUUCUCCCCCUCCAUGGAUGCUCGCCACCUGCCCCUCUUUUCAUCUCCUUAAGACGCCAGGAGCAGCCCCAGGAAACCUAGCUCGCUCCUCCCUCUCCGCGCCGCCACCUCCAUCUCUUUCCGUCCGUGAGUUGAGAGGGGUUUUUCCCGGAGCUUCCGAUGAUCGCCGCCGACGCCAUGGACCGCCGCACGCCCAGCUGAGGACGGGAAUCGCACCGCCACUCCUUCCUCUACCUCCCGGAUUACUUCACGGAACCGGAGACGCCAGGGUCUGCUCAACAUCUUCACCGCCGCUGCCGUCUUGUUCCCGGACUCCGGCGACCGUGGCCUCGACUCCGACCUCCCCUGCCGUUUCCUCCUCGUCGUCGACACCUCCAGGACGCCGACGCAGAGCAGUACGAGCAGGAGUACGAGUUCCCCCUGGAGGAUCGUGUCGGUGCUUCUACCUCUGAUCUGACAGGCGAGCCCACCCCUUCACCUAUUUUACUUUUACAUGCUCUUUUGAUCUAUUGCUAUCCUUAUGUUGCGAUUCU